AAUAGAGUUCUGGUCCUGCUGCAGAGUAAUUAUUUCCUAUCCUAGCUCAGAUAAGUUGUAUUUAUGUAUCAUUAUCUCUUCCAGGAAAUUCAUUUUUUACUAGUAGAUCCCACAAAGUCAAUGCAUUUAGAAUAAUACAAAAAUUAAUUGCAGUGAAACAGCAUAUUCCUGUUCCCACAAUCACAAUUAAAUAUGCACAAUUUUAAUAAUUUGUUUAAUGAAAGGAAAAUAAAGAAGAAAAUGUAAUUUCUCCUCAAUUAAGUCCAGACCAGACUCAUUCCUGAACUGCUUGCCUUCCACUCACUGUUUAACCUGGGAAUAGGCAUGUGUCACCAUGACCAAAAGCCUGUUUCCAAUGGAUGACAUUGGAAAAGACAGUCUGUUGUUUGUCUCCACUGACGUAUCUGUAGUCCUGGAAAAGUUCCCAGUGUAGGCCAGGAGGAUCAUUAGUGCAGACAAGACACCCAGAAGCCCUUCCACUCCUAAUGCUCCCAUACCUGCUUCUGUCUGAAGAAGCAGCCUACUGGCCCGCAUCCCCUCCUAUCAGCAUUGCCAAAUCUUGACAGGCUUGAGGACUGUUUUGCUUAUUUGUUAAUUAAAAAACAGACAUUGCAACUAUCAAUAUAAGAAGAAAUUAACUACUUUCUACCCCUUUUAGUUUCAGUUAAUCCAAAAGCCAAAUGCCAACAGGAAUCAUCAGUCAUAAAAUUAUCUAUGAAAGAAAUAACUCUGCCAUGUUAAAUAGGUGGGGGGGAAAAAGCUGCCAUGAAAUUCUAGUUAACAAAGAAUUUCCAGUGACACCUUCAGUGUCUUUAAUACACAUGAUUCGUUCUUUCUAGAAAAUUAAGAAUUUGGCUUUUAAUGUCAUCACAAAUGAGUAAUAGCUUUUCCUUCAAGAACUCUUCGUGGCAGUGGUAUCCAAAUGAUGUCCUUGCCACUGAAAUAAUGUCUCUCAAACUAAACAGGGGUCACAAUUUAUGUUGCAUCACUACUGAAAGAACUAUUAUUAAAAUGUUAGUAUCAUACUGCUGUACAGCAAGCUCUUCUGUGGACUCUAGUGUCAUACAAUAAAAUUAAUUUAGACACAAAAACUUUUAUAACUUGAAAUUUAUAGAAAACUGUAACACAAGCAAUCUUAGAAGAGAUAAGCACUCUCAGAGAAGUAACUUCCAGCUUUAGUGAGCUAAACCAGUACUUUGGGGGGAAGUGUACUGAGCCAUCUACACAGCUACUUGUCAACCUCUUGGUAUGUAUUGAUUCCAUAAACAUCAAGAUUUCAGAAGAGUAGAAUUUAGCUCUGUAGUGAAUGAUGCUGCAAAAACAUAUCCAGUCAGCUCUGGGGUUUUUGUUUCAUUCAACUGCAAACUGGUUGGCACUGCUGUAGCUCUUUUGUUACUCAUUGUUGCGAUUCCUGAUUUGCUUGGGAGAUCUUUUUAGGGUCUGGGUUGUCACAUUAAGUUUCUUCAAUGAUGAGAAAGCUCAAAACUAUGCUCCUAGGUCUUUACCUGACCAAAUUAGCAUCUUGGCUUUAAUGAAGCACCAUGUGCAAGUGAAACAAAUCCAAGCAUGUAAAAGCAAUUUAAUGGUUUGCAAAGUGAUACUGCUCUACUCACCUUCUGGGGUUAACCUUUGGUGCUCUGAGUGAUGUAUGUGCUCAGCACUCUCUCUUAGUAUCAUAAAGCUGCAGUCCGUGGGAAUGCCACAGUACUUGGAAUUUAACAAGAGGCAAAUGUACCCAUAUCUAGAAGCCAAUUUGCUCUUUGAAAACAACCUUGAUGCUGAGGCAGCUAUUCUGCUGCUAUUCAGAGCACAAGUAAAGGUUCUCCUCAGUGGGGACUGGGAGCCUCCUCACGUGGAAGUUUGCCUGACACAGACUACCUGAAGACAGAUUUUAAAUGUCAGAAGGGCACUGAGCUCUUCUAGUGCACUGUUUAGUGGGAGUUUGAGGAAACUUGCUCUUCAUUAAGAUGCCACCUUCCUCAUUUCUCUCGUUUUAUUUUGGCCUCUCCAUCACUAAUGCUCAGCCAUGCCUACUAGCUUGGACUAAAAGUCUCCCAGCCUGGAGAUUUUUCCUGUAUGACUAGAAAGGAACAAUAUGGGGCUCAGGUUAAUUCAACAGAGAGCUCAUCUGCUUUAAAUCACUAGUAUUACUAAUGGUCUAUGGGAACUGCAGAAUGGGGUGGUACCAGACAGGGAAGGCAAUGCAGAAAUAGCCUUUGUGUUUGUGACACGGUGUCAAUUUCCUUUUCCAUAAAACAGGAAUGUAUCAUUUUUAUGGCAAACAAAAAAGAAAUCCCCACUCAGAUUACACAUUACAAUAUUUCUUGUUAACAACAUGUUAUAUGACAUUUUGAUUAGUUGUCAGUCUAACUGUGAAACUUUAAAACUGGGUGUAGAAAUAGCUAGAAGAAUAUACGUCUUGGGAUCUGGUACCUGACAGUAUUCAUAACUAGUGGAAAACUCCCUGUCUAAAUUCAUAUAUAUAUUUAAAAACAGUUUCAGAUAGAACUCUGAACAGAAAUACAUAUGAACUUUGGGAAAGUUUGAAUCUUCCCAAUAUUAACUGAGCUGAACAGGCUCCUUUUGCAGUUUAUAUUGAUCAUCCUUCAGGGCUUUUCGACAAUCAGCUCCUAAACAUUGCUGACAGUAUCUAACAGAUGAACACUGUUAAUGUUAUUUGAGAUGGCUUUGAGUAGAAAUUAAUUUUAAAAUUAGAAUGGCUAACAAGGCAAUAAAGGAACACAGCUAUUUUCACACUAUUGUUAUCUUGUUUCCAUCCUAUUUUUAUAGAAACAUCGCCCAUCUGCUAAAUGAUAGUAAAUCACACCCUGAAGAUUGGCUUCCUAUUCCAUGGAAGGCGUUAUCAAGCCUGGUAAUAUUCUAUGACCUAAGUGAGGCACCUCAGCUCCUUCUGUGACCGAGGGAAAAGAGCAUCUGGGAGGUGUUCAUGCUGUAGGCAUUCUGAUGACAACAGAACUCUGUUCUUAACUGAACAUGGGGAUGCAGAGACAACCCUGGCAUGCACACAGUGCAAUAGCUCUGGGUGCUUCACAUCAACCCAUUCCUGUUGGAAUGUAUAUAUUAUCUAAAAGAUCCAUCAUCUCAGCUGCACCUUGAAUUUAAGAAAUAUUUACAGAUAUUAUGGCCAGAGGUGGGACAACUGCCUGAUAUUCAGCCAGAAUAAAAGCAACGCUGAGAUAAAUGAGACUUCCUGCCAAGAGCUGAAAAGAUUUCACAAAGGAUGUAGAAGAAAGAAAUGAUUCAAGCAAGUCUUUUGGGUGGUUUUCUUUUCCUCUCCCAUGGUUACAAAGAACCAUACAAUAUCCAAUGUACAAACAGGUCCUGCUGCAAAAAGGGAUAAUGAGCAAAGCACUGUUGUCCUGCCCAUGCUUUUUAAGAAGGAAGAGGAACACAAAGCAAAUGGGGAGCUGUGAGCCACAGCAGCUCUAUCAGUCACAGUUAAGUGGAGCCCCUUCUGCUAGACUACCUCUUCAAAUAGAGUGUUCCCAUUUAAUGUUCCUCAACAAUAGCUGUCUGCUGGAGAUUGGCCUUAGCCUGCUUGGAAGCAUUUGAGACUGUGAAAUUGGAGUAACUUGGGAUUCAUGUGGGGUUUUUUUUUUGCUAAGCUGGGCCCCUAUUGCUCUAUCUCUUUUUGGCUAAUGUUGUCUAUAUUGGUAACAACCCCCACUGGAUGAGGUUCACAGCAUGCAGUUGGUUUCUCAGUACCUCAGUGAUACUGAGACCAACACACUGUAUUUCCUUUAAUAAAAUUUAAUUUUCAUAGAUAAUGAAACUAUGUAGAUAAAAUGAAGGAAUCACUUUUCUAAAAACUUUUAAGAUAUGUCCUAAUGGAAAGAUUAAAUUAUACUAAUUUCUACUUUGCCUCAACCGAAGUUCCCCCAAGGGACUUAUUUAUCUAGUUGCUAUAGCAAGAUCAAAAGCCACCCUUGUCUGCCACCAGCCUGUUGCAGGAGCAGAGUUCAGAAGACAGCAUGCAGAGAAAACUGGAGUUAGCCAAGACAGGAAAUUUCAAGGACAGUCUAUCUGGGACAUUUAUUGACCAGUCACCUGCUGAUAAAAGGUGCCUUCUGCACUCUAGUUUUAUAGUGCUGAAAAUAUCUUCUCUUUUAUCAAAAUUAAAAAUUGGUUGAUUUGGAUUUUUUCCCAAAAUAUAUCAGGAAAGUUACUCUCUUCCCUAGUAAUAUAUAAGUGGCCUAGAAUUUAAAACCAUCAUCCUGAAGUGAAAAGAUUUCUUUCCUUGGCCCAAAAGUAUCCAAGCCCACGUUUUCCACUUUCCAGUUACAGCUGCUGCUGUGGGGAGACCAGCCAGUUGCAGAGAACAGAGCUUGCUGCUGAAGCUAUGCCAUUUCUCCCUACAUGGACCCAGGAUCCAUGGGGAAGAGCUAGCACUACAGAAAGAAUUUGGAAGCUGAGAGUCAGUUUACAGGCAGGACAUUUGCGUUCCAGCGAUUGGCUGGAGAACAGGCUUGGCAUGUGCUUGAGGAGAGGUGAGGGCAGCGGUGGCUCAGGGCACAGGGAAGGGCAUCUGCUGCAGCCCUGCCUGAGAAGAUGCCCUGCCAUCUGCCUGCACAGCUGCUGGUCCAGCCCAGCUCCUCUGGUCCUACUGUACCACUCACCCUGAUACACUCGCAGCAGCAGAAACAUCCUGCUGCUUUCCUCCCAAAGGAAAGAGCUCUGCCCUUGCCAAGAGGUCCCAAAGGCCCAAGAAGAUGCUUUGAGCUUGCUCCUGGUGGGAAAGGACUGCUAGGAGAAGAAGGGGGACCACUGACCUUACACCCUGGAAGAGCACAAAAGGAGGAAGUUGAUAAGUAAAGGAGGAACGAAAAACCAUACCUUGGCUUUGUCUCUCCCUCAAAUGCAUCCAUAAUCUGCUACAGAAAUAUCUUUCUGAAACUAUCAGGACCCCUCUCUCCUACCCUUUGGAGAUGCGUGGACCCUUCUGACUCCUGCCUUUUGCUUAGCAUCCAAUGCAGGUCUCUGCCAUCCUGCUUUUAAAAGAGCCAUCUGCCUCGACAUUCUCCCCUUCCUCACCCAAAGCUUCUCAAAAUGUCCUCUACCUCUCUCAGCCCUCUCUUUGCCCACCCACAUAUAAAUAUGCUCCUUCCAGUGCCCCUCCUUCCUCCAGUCCUGUUAUCUUCUCAAAACAAAUUAAUAACAACUGUAGAUUUAGGCAUUUUCAAACUAGGAAGUGACUUGUAGGAUAUAUAUGCAACACUUUAACCAUCCUUCAUAUGAUUUACCAACAAUUUUUAUAUGGUAUUUAAGUUUUUGUUUUGUCUUAUAAAUCCUGGUAUAGGUUUACUAUUUUGUACUCCAUUCAGAAAAAGCCUCAUAAAAAUGUAAAGUGACUAAAACAGGAGACAAAAGUAUGGCAUUGAGAAAUAAACACAAAGAAACACUCUUAUGGGUGAAAACCUUAGUGUUAUAUUUUUUUGUGUUGAACCAGUAAUGAACCUCAAGGUCAGUUUAAAUUAAUUCUUAUUGAAUUUCCUAUGUGGUGCAGUUGUCAAUAGAAUAAUAGCAUGCAUCAGUGGCUUGUAGCUAUUUUUUUCUUUCAUCUCUAUUUCCUUCUCUUUGGCAUUUUAUAAAGCAGACAAUUUUUUUUUCAUAAAAGACUUGGAACCCCUUGAUUUUUAAAAAUUACCUAUGGAAUUCUGCCUUGUGAGGUGCAAAACGAACAGGGAAAAAUCACAAACUGUGGUAAAUGUCCCUGCGGAGCCCUCUCUAAUUAACUGUGCAUUCCUGAAGGAGCCCCAGGAGUGGAGAAAGGUACUUGUUAAAUGAGGCAACAGUUUCUAUGGAAAUGGAAAAUAACCACUCUCUUGAAACUUCCUACCUAAAAAUUUAGGCUGUUUGUAUGAAUUAUGUUCUAUUUGGUACAUCUUUCCAGACAGAAAACUUCUCAACUUUCAACUCUAAUAAUGACACGGAAUGCUGGUAGUCAAAUUAAUAUAAUCUAUUUGUGCAGCUUUAUUAGCUUAACAUGUAAAAGACAGGUGGAUCAUACCAGUCCGUUCAUGUAUAUGACCAUGUUCAGCUAAUUGUAUUUAGACAUCUUGCUGUCUUUUGCAUAUAAUGCUGUUAGUUAUCACUUGAGUUAUUUUCUGGUUUACUUCUCUAUUGAUCAAUGAAAAUCUGACUUUUUAACACCAGGCUGCUGUGCAAAGUGCAAUUACACAACCUAUUCUGUAACACAGUUCUGAAAAUACUUGAAAGCCACCUGGCCAAUGAGUCCUCCUUCAGAUGCUACAGUGUCCUACCUAACAGUCCUGAGUCCUUUGCAAAAUUCAGGUCACUGAGCACCUGAAAGCAAACCCCAAAUGCCAAAUGAUCUGAAAUCACUGUAUGGAUUUUCCAGCUGAGUUUUUGCAAUAGCAGCAGAAAAGCAUGUUUGGAGCUCUGCAAGGUAUGUUAGGAUUAAUGGAAACCAAUGAGGUGUUAAGCAACAAAACCAGAGUGAAUAUAAAUAGAAAAUAUUGCAUAUUCAAUUUAAACAGUCCCUUUUCCGUUGAAAGAAUGAAUUUUUAAAAAUCUUUCUAAAAUUAAUUUAAUUAUCUUGGCCUCCGAAAAAAAGUAGCUAGGCAUAAAGGCUUGAACUGUGGUCUCAAUCUGAUGGUGUUCUUGCAGCUUAAGAUACAUUUCUAGUUUUGAUGAAGUUGGCAACAUAACUCCUACUCCCUUCAAUGGCCUGGGACUUUGCUCUGUGAGAGAGAACUAAAUCCUCUGGUUCUGUCAGACAAGUAAAGUACUAUGUUUUUCCUAUUAUGAAACCAAGUAAUAUGUUAUUACUAACUAUAGAUAUAUAAUAUAUUAUAUAUAUUUUAUAUAAUAUAUCAUAUAAACUGAGUUAUAAGAUAUUCCCAGCUUCAGGUGAAUCUAGUAUCUACUGUUCUUGAGACCAGUAGCCUAGCUGCAGAAAUGACACAAAAAUACCAAGCAGCUUGAAUUCACCAUAACUUUCAGGGCACAGUUCUCUGAAGCGACUUCACAUAGUUCUUCCCUCAUGGAAAUACUGGAAACAAGGGAUGAAAAUAACAAAAUCAAAUCUCAAACUUCGUUUGCCAUUGUACUCAUGCUAGGUGGUUUCCUGAUGUUUGAGCAGUUCAUGUUCAGGCUCCUGCUGUGUACACACUUUCAAAAUACACAGCACAACCCAUAUUUCUGCAGCAUUUAUUUUAAUUAGAAUUUGUGGCAUGAAGCCCCACCUAAAACAGAAAACUGGAUGAUUGUUCACCUCUUGCUCACAUAUCUUUUGCUGAAAAACAAUCCUCUGUGCAAAUGAAGUCUGGUUUGCAACUACCCUCUUACACACUGUUAAGAGGAAAAGAAAAAUAAACCAAGGAGUUCUCAUUAGCAAACCUCCACUGGCAUUGCUCACUGCUGGCUUCAUAGCAAAAAUUGUAUAUUUUUAUCAUAGUUAUUGCAUUGGGUUUGCAUGACAAGGUUUUUAUAAUCAUACAAGUGAAAAUAAAUGUUUAUUAAGUAGUUAUUUAGAUGAUGAAGCUUUUACUUUGUGUCAUAAUCUUCAGUAGGAGACAAUGUAGUGCGGGAUCAAGGAGUUUAUUGACUGCUUUUUAAUACCAAAUUAAAUCUUUAGAUAUUGAUCAAAGAAGCAUAGAAAUCAAAGAAAAAAUAAUGCUCUGCAGUAUUUGAAAGACUGAAUUAUGACACCAGGGAGUUACAGGCCUGAAAAUUAGUUAUUAAUUGUGAGAAAAAUGACAUAAAAGCUGAUCUGAAGCUUUAUAAAUAGAAAAAUAGAGGGUAAUAAUAUGAUAAUAUAAUUAAUACCAAUCACCUAAUACUAAAGAGUAGUAUUCAAUAUUCAAUAUUUCAAUGCUAUUGAAAGCAUGGCCUGUCAAACAACUGAACAGUAGUGUUGGUGUAGUUUACUUGGAUUUACAUAAAAAGUUUAACUUCAUUCUGUGACUUUUUGAUGAACAGACUAAAAUAAUUUGGAGCUGACAGGAUAUGUUUCAAUUAGAUAUUUUGUAUGUUUAAAUUGUAAUUUUAAGGGAAAACUCUUCACUAUGUUUCUGCAGGGUAUUUCAAGAAUAAUUUCUUGGCUAAAGAUUAGUGAAUAUUAGUUCACACUCAGCAACCUGAGUAUGAAUAAAAUUUGUUCACUGUCUCUGUAUAAUCAGACUCAUGGCUAGUAUCUUUUAUUCAAUAUACCAUUAUCAGAUGUAGUCUUUUAGUAUCAUUUCACUAUUGAACUGUGAUAAUUAGUGUGUGACAUGAUUUUUUUUAAGUAAUAAAGAUAACAUGUCACUUGGGAGCAGGGUGAGUGUGGGGGUGAAAGGAGCCUGAAUUCCCUCAGCUGCAAGUGCAAACUGCAAGGAGAUCAGAGACAGGUCUCAGUCCUCACCACAGGGGCUUCCCUGGUAGCCCCUGUGUUGGUUCUCAACCUCUUAAUCAGCUCCUCUCUCCCUCUCCUCCCCUAGCACUGGCACCAUUUUUUGGACAAAAAAUAAACUAAGCGCUUUUAAUUUUAAGGGAAUAGACUGUGAAUGUUAGGAACUGAAAUGCUACAGACCACAUUGGUUGGAACUAGCUGUCUUCUGCAGGGGCAUGUGUUAGUGAUCUGUUAAACUUAACGGCUGAAGGAAGCAUAUCACCGUCAGACUCUUUGGCUAUGUAUGUGCUGCUAAUUAUAAUAUGCAAGAAGCUGUUCUUUGGUCCUGUGAGCAAAUGGUACAUCACAGCUCCUGUCCUUACAGCUAAGCACUCCGCCUCAAGACUAGCCAGCUUGUGCAUGCCACAGGGGAUACACUAGCAAUUGAGCAGUAUGGGCAAUCGCACACCAGUACCUGAGCUGGUUCAGAUCUAGCUAAUGCUUUUGGCUCUGGAGGUUGACUAGGCAAAGCACAUUAAUGUAAUUAAAGGCAGCUAAAAAUCACCUUUACUGGAUCAGUUAAAAGCAUCAUUUACACCCUCUGGAAACAUAUAGGACCGGUGAACUCUUAAAUAACAAUCCAUGUCAUAACUGCAAAGGAUGAGUGUUAGCUAGUCAGAUGUUCUUAUUUCCGGCAACAGAUGGCCUUGCUCUUAAUAAGGCAUAGUCAGUCACCUAUACCUGAGUUAACGAUGAAACUGGAAAUCAGAAAUGUUCAGGGAUUACAAAAUUCUGUGUAAAAUACAGAGAUUUUUCUGAAAAAGAUGAGACCCAAAAAAACCCCACUCAUAAAGCAGCUUAUUUCUACUCUAAGGCAGCAGAUCCAGUCUUACAAGUUUUUGAGGUUAAUGGAGUCUGUGAUAACAGGCCAAAUCAUGACUGGGAUACAGGUCAAAGCUCAUAGAUAUGUUGAGGAAACGCAGAGUUAACACUUAGGCAAGGAGUUAGAAUGUGCUGAGAAAGAAAAUCACCCAGUCUUGACUGAAGCCUGCUCUUUGACACAAUACCAACACUGAGAGCCAAAACUACUGCAGUUGGAGGCAAGUUGAAAGUAAUGAAUAAUUCAAAAUCUGAGUUCCAUAUGAAGAGCUAGUGCACCAUGUUCUAUCAAAAACAUCAUCCAAAUGUGAUCACUACAACGAUGUGCAUCAGGUGGGGAGAUAUCUGAAGCACCCUGGGAGCAUGUGCCUCGUGGCCAAAGAGGAUGACAGUGCUGUUGGCUCCCAGGAAUUCCUCAUGGGAAAGGUAGUUGCAAGCAAAGAAGAAAAUAGUUGCCAUGAAACCAAGUGGUGUGUAUUAGUUUCAAAUUGAGCAUACGUGCAUGCCUGUUCUAUCAAAAGCAGGACCAGUACUAAAGGAAGAGAUACAGGGACCAGAAGUUUCAGGUAACUUGAUUCUUCCAAGUGGAUAAUCUAAAUUAUAUAUUAACCAUACCUUCCCCCAUUCUUUCUUCUCUCAUGCACAUAUCACAUACAGAACUGUCCAUAAUAUGCAUAAUAAAGAGGGCUUGAUACUGACAGGUCGAACUCUGCCUGUUGCUAUGUAAAAGUACCCCCCUCUUGAGCAAAAACUGGAUAAACAGGACUUUUAAAGCUUUGAGAAGAGAAUGUACUAAAUGUACUUUCACAGGGUAAUUCAUGUGCUUGUUAUUACCUGUAUUUUUGUUUUAUCUAGUUUUUCCCAAUCCUCCAUUACCCCUAAUAACUGAGCAAUGACUGGGUACACUUAAAACUCAUUGCUUAAUGGGGCAGUUUAUUUUCACAGAACAUCCAAAGACCUAAAUGCAUGCCUCUGUGCAAAAUGGGAAAGCUAUAAUUAUGAUACCAUUGGAAAAAUAGGGAAACCAAUACUGGAUUAAAUGGGUGUCAAGGUGUUGUCUAGUCAGAACUCUCAUGAAAAAGUAGUGAAGCAAAAUAGGAAAGAAUCUGAGGACCUAUCAAGGGAAUGGAGAAUUUCUCAGUGAAGAGUAGAUAGGAAUUGGAGGAGUUUUAGAGAAAGGAAUAUAUCUACAUAAUUUUGGAUAUAGAUUCUGAAGCUGUAUUUUUGUUUAUAGGUGUUGGAGGACCUUGAGCAGAAGUCCAAUGGCAUAUAUUACACAGGAAAGCUUAUCUCAUGGUAGUGAUACCCUCUAGUCUUCAACUCUGUAUCAUAGUGGAAUUCUAGGAACCCACAGCAAACAACAUUGUUCCUCUCAGCAUUCCUAGAGAGCACGAGCAUUGUGAGCCUUUUUGGAAAUUAAUCCAACUUUGUUGACUGACAUAGAAAGAGAAUUUAGGACCAUGGUUCAUCUCAGAUUUGGGCUCAUAUUGUCACUAGUGCAUUUAUGUACUUCUCUACAAUGCUACUGUGAUGGCCAGAAUAUGAAAGAGAAUAGAGGGUUAAUCAUAACUUCCUGAGGCAUUAAUGAGUUAGAGUUUCCACUGAGUAGUUACUAAAUCUCAGUGUCCAUAUUUUCCAUUGAUGUAAAGGUUUGGAAGGAUGCUAUGCCACAUUUCGAGUGUGAAAUGAAAGCUAAUGUUCCUAUACUAUAUACAAAUUGAUACAUGGAUAUCCUUCUAAAAACAAGGCAUACAAAGUUGUGACUGUCACUUCUGAGGAUUAGCAGUCUUAUAUGACGGCUUCCACUUGGAUAAAAUAUGCAUCUAUGGCUGUACUUGUGCUUGUUUAUUUGCAGAUAUAGUGAGAACUGGUUGAACACCCUGUAGCAUAUCAAUGAAAACUCUCUGCUUCUGCAAGCUAGAACUAGCAAGACACACCUUGAGUGGCAUGAGAGACUAGUAGGCGAGCAACGUGCCUUUCACACAUUAAUAUGUAUGGCAUAAGUUUACAGUAUGAUGAGGACAGUGUAGAUAUGUCUUGAAGGUCAAGGUCCUGCUCUGGAGGGAAGUUAUAAUGUGGAAAUAUAGUUUUGGGUAAGGCACUAAUACAGCCUACUUUUCAUCUAAUUGUCCUGAACGUGCUGGUUAACCAUGUGUGGGAUGAGCUUCCAAGUAAUUUGAAGAGUAUCAUUAAGGAAAAGUAGACAGAACAAGGCACCCUCUGCCAACAUUGCUAGAGCUGGCUCUUUCUUAAACACCUCCUACAUACUUGAUGCUGGGAGAGACAUUACAGCUUGCACAUUCCACCCCUACCGGCAAGCUUCAUCUCAGAUUAACAGUUGUUGAGAGUAAACUAUAUCAUUUAUGAGGGGUGUGAAUUAUCUCUUGCUUAGCAUUUCUCCACAAACCUUUAGCAAAUGAUACAACUUAAUCUAUAUUUUCAGAAAAAUCAUACAGUAUUUCAGCUCUUCGGGGGGUCUACCGUAAUAUUAUUUCUGGAAAAAUGGAAUGGAACGGAAUGGAAGGUUAAUACAAGAAGGAAACAGCAUUACCUACUUAAAUUUCAUAUCUGUCCUCCAAUUUUGACCUCAAAAUAAAGAACUUUUUCUAAAAUAAAGAACUUAAUUGGAAAAGAUAAUUGUUUUAUCAAACCUCCUAUCUAAUAAUUAUUUCACUACAAUUAAGAGAUUACUUAAAACAUGAAUUAAGCUUCCAACAGUUUCUUAAAUUCUAUAACAUGUUCAGAAUAAUAUGUAAAUGAUAUUUCUUCUUCUGUGUGUGUGUGUGUGUGUGUUAAAGGUUUAUGUAACAGGAUUUUGUUAUGAUAUGUUACGGUUUCUAGGAUUUCUGAUAAGCCAGUUUUUAAAUUGUAUGACUUUAAGAUCUAAAAUAUUAACCAUUUCUUAUCAACUUUCUAAUAUAUUUUAUUUGCUUGUUUUUUCCCCACACGUACCUCCAAACCCUUAGGCCAUUCUUUUAAAUGAUCCAAUUAAAUUAUUUAAAUAAGAUUUCCAAAUGUGGGAUGAUAAUUUCUGACAGUUUUGAAAAGUAAGUGAACUGAAAUGGAAAGUUUUGAGAAAAGAUUAGACAAGAACGUGUCAGGAAUAUUCUAGGAAAAUAUAGUCCUAUUCUCAGAACAAAGAUUUAUAUCAUAUAAUGUGUUUAGGGUCCAUGCAAUUCUACAUUUUCAUGAUAUUUUUUUUUAAGUAUAAGCAACCUUGUACUAAUGGUAACAGAAACUUACCUUGAGCUACAAGGUGAAGUAUAAUAUGUGAGGAGUGUAAAUUAAAAUUAGGCUGUUCAUUCUCAAAAGAUCAAAGAAAUAUUUUAAAUAUUUUGCUGAAGUGGUUCUUCUUUUGUUUGGUUAGUUGGGUUUUUUUUCAGAGGACAUUUAAAACUUGAAAAAUCUACAAAAUUUCAUCCUAGGGAUUCAAAUCACAGAAAAAAUGAACUUAAAAUUCAUAUUACUUUUACAGGAAAAUAUAAUUCAUUCUUAAAUACAUUGUACAACCAGUUACAGUGUUACAAAAAACUUGUCAUAUCUCAAGUGUUUGCUACGAGUAAUCUCAGGAAUUUUGGUGUUUUAUAAGCAUUACUUUAUUAUCUUUGGAACACUGUCCUGUAGCAAGUAUUACUUAAGCUGUAAACAUGGAGAAAUUUGUGUACAGCACAACUAGAACACCAAAAUUAUGGAGGAAUUCAUAGCUGAAUUGCUAAUGUGUCUUUGUAUCCCUGAAGCAGAAGAACUUUUCCCCAUCCUACUACGGUGCAAGGAGAGUCUCAAAAGAUACAUCUCAGAAAGAGGUUUUAUUUGGUUUGUUAGUACAACUUUUAUGUAAAGGGGGGUUGUUGAGUGCAAAGUGCAUACAUGUUUAAAGGCAAAAUGGGUUAUGGGUGGAGCAUGAGGUUUCUGUGGAGGGGGCCCUAUAUACCCAGCAAUACAGUCUGGAGCAGCCUGGAGAUGAAAAGCAGACAAUCAGGGGAUUAUAACAAAAGGUUAUGUAUAUGGACUCUGAUGUGCCAUUUCCAUUUCAACCUAGAAUUACAUCAUUCUCCUUAUUCUGUUUCAUAAGAUCUUUAUUUUAAAAUGUGAUUUAAAGGGUAACACCACCUUACGUGAACAAUUUUAACCUGGAGAAACAAUGGAGAGUAGGGAAGCUAUUUUGAAGAAAGGGACAUUGCAGUUAGUUACCUUUUCUUUCUCCAGCUGUCUCUUGGAUGCUGGUUACAUUCAGAUUGGGUGAUCACCUGGCUGUUUUCACCCAGUUUUCAUAAGGUGAAAACCAGCUGGUUAACAUAAAAGCAGGCAACCAAUCAUCAGGAAAGUGAGAGUUACAUAAAGGAAAGAGCUGAAAUGCCUGCCAGUUCACGCAGGGAGCUUACCUGGGGACUCUGUCCCGAGUCCUGCCUUGCUAAGGCUUUACAGAACCUGCAUGUCCACCAUUAAUGGCUGUAUGAAGCAAAACCAUUGAAUCAGUCGUCUACCCCUGUAGCAGGGAUUGUCUUCAUGGUUUUGCAAAGACAUUGAGAUCAACAAUUUCACCUGAUGCACUUCUGUUCAUGAACAGAACCUUAAUAAAAUGGCAUAAACAACUAAUUUUACAACAAGAAAGCUCUAGGCAAAUUACAGGAGACAGACAGUAGUUAGAACUUGUAUAGUUUUUACCCCAUUCCGUAUUUUGCCUAUUUUCCCUAUUUUGCCUUUCAGCUCUGGCCUUUUAAAUGGCUAUGAGAAGUAAAUGUAAAGUGACUCUCUAGUUUAUAUGAAUUAAACACUGAAUGAAGCCCAUAAAAUUAUAACAGAACUAUUUAAAAUAGUUAGGAAAAUAUCAACCGGGAAUGGAAUAGAAGAUCCCAUAAAAAUGUUGCAUGCUUUAUCCUACAUCAUGAUGGAGUCAAGGAGGGUCUGUAAAUAUAAAAUAAAUUACAAAAAUGUUUUCAUAUAAUGAGGAAUGAAAGUGGAUGCUUAGGUUAUCUAACACUUUGUAGAGUUAAUCAGAAGGCAUAUUUUCCUCUGUACAUAGUGAAUAUUUUUCAUCUCUAUACAGCUUCAGUAUGCAGAUAUUACUUUGAAACUCCUUUUUCUUUUAUUCCUGUUGUUAGAUAGCUCUCCAUAUUUAUUUAAAAUUUCUUCAUUAGCCUUUUUUAAAAUGAGCUCAAGAAUUGUUGCUUUUGUUUCACAAAUGCAUACAUAUUAAACUAAGUUAGCUAACCCAAAUUACACUCUGGUGGAAUAGUUUUGACCUAUGUAUGGUUACCUUGCCCUCUGAAAAAUAGGAAGUAACAAUCAUUGUAGCAGUUAUGAAAACUUGAACCAAAUGAGUAAGUGAAUAGACAAUAGCUAGUUGCCAGGAUUGUCUCCCAGAUGCGGGAGGGGAACCUCAGAUCAACCUUCCCACUGAAUUCUCUUUUGCAAUUGUUCAUUUAUGUAAUCUGAGCAAGAAAACAUUUAUUAAAGGUUUCCUUGUCUUUGUAAUUGUCAACGACAGAAGUUGGGGGCUGAAGGGGGUACGAUUCCCUUAAGUCCAACACCAGUUUUUGGCAUCUCUGAUGUAACUCCAAUGAAACUCAAGCAAAGCAAGCCUAGUAUUAUCCAUAGGUACCUCAGGGAUAUUGAGACAGCAGCAAAACCUGCUUAACCUGUUUGCUUUCCCAUACUCCUAGGCUUUACCUAGCUGCCUUAUGCCAACCUCCUGCUUAAUUGUUUGAUUUAAUUGUUUCUCAUAGAAUAAUAGUUUUUCCUAACCACAUCAACAGCUGUUAUACAGUUUUGUUGUUUUUCUUGCUUUCAUUUAUAGUCUCAUUUAUAGCUACAUUUUGUUUGUUUGCUUUUGACACUGAGGAGUUUUUAACUCAUCCAGUACUUAAUUUACGGUCCUAAAGUUUCUCCAUUCUCUGUGUCAUAGAAAGAGAUUAGCAAAUCCAGAAAGUUUCAUGAGGUGAAAUUAACUGAGAUUCCUUCAAUUAUGUCUUCCCAUGGUGUCGAAAGAAGACAGAGCUGGCAACCUGUAAGUUCUGCUUGUCCUUGGGAUCCUAAAACAAGAAAAGUGACAGAGACAGUGGGAAGGGCCAAAUUGUUCCUUUGAAAGGAUGGGCACUGUGACAGCAAUAUAACUGCUGGAAUGCAUUGCAGGAAAAUACUCAGCUCUCCGCUGUUCUGACAAGUGUGAAGUGAAUAAGCAGGAAAAACUAAACAUUUGUGUAACUUCUAUGAUUCACUCUUUCAUGAACAUCUGCAGCUGUACAAGUGAUUAAAUUUAAAACCCCAAACAAUGAAAAGCAAUGCUGUGCUUGCAAGAGACUGCUUUUUAGAUGCCACUAUAAAAAAAAUUCCUUCAACUGAGUGCUCUUUGCUCUCAUGCCACAUCCCAUUACACAGAUCCAGUUCUAUCGGCCUGUAUUCAAAAACAGGAACAACCAACACGUUCUUAUCAUGCAUCCUAAUGAGUAAUGCAUGGCAGUGCUUUUUUUGAAGGACAUCUCUUAACUUGUUAGAACUUGAUUGUGCAAAGGCACAUGGUAUUGCAUGUACUUGCCUGUUAACUGUAAAAUAAAGGUCUUAAUUGCUGUAUUUCCAUCUUCUCUCUCACUUCCCAGGAGUCAUUGCCUGUGUUUUAGCUGCUUAGCAGCAAGUUAGUAUUCUGAUCACAUUUUAUCCCAUCAGGACUUUCUCCCUUUCAUCCUCAGUUUGCAAACAGUUCAAUUACUGACAUCAACUUUUGCCAGGUUUUACUGAUGUCCGGUGGAAAUUCCGUUAUUUUUGCUCUGCCUGGCUCACACGGCAUGACUGAAAAGCCUGCAUCGUAAAUACCUGCUGUACGGGAGAGGUACAUGCAGAGGAGCUGGGCAGUGCCCAAGCCUGCAGUGCAUUCUUGUCUGCUGGAAUCCACAGCCCAGUGUUAGCCUCUCUGUGCAAAGCUUUUGUCAAUGUUAGCACUAAAAAACUAAUAUUUUAGCUCAUAUCCACCUCUACUGGCAAUUUAAGCUAGAAGGCCAGGCUGCACAUUUGACGGAGUGUUGUAGGCAUAUGUGGUUUCUACCACUCUAGUGCUAGCCUUACUAGAUGCCUGGGUCUGGCCUGGAAAGUCUUGAUUUCUGGGUGUUUGCCAGAUAUCUUGAUUGCCAUACUAACAAGUUUAUUAAAAUCCUGCAUAUGCUCAGUUUUGUGUGGUUUCAGUGUGGCUCAUGUGGGGCUGACACUGCUUUGCUGCUGGGCUGGCAGCUUUAGGCCGGCUUUCUGGCUGCCUCCAGCCCGCAGCCAGGAGGCAAUAGUGAGGGGACACAUCCUGGCUACAGCUCUGAUGGUGCCAGCCUUUGCACAUCAACACGGGAAGAAGAGAGG